rnacentral:ncRNA from 1 species
AAAAAGUUUGAUUCUUGCUUGAGAUUUUAUUUUAUAAUAGAAAUAUAUAUGUAAGUUUUGAUUUGAUAUUAUAUUUUAAUUUAAUAUUAUUAUAUAUUUUAAAAUUCACAGUUAAUAAUAUUAAUUUAUUAAUUAAGUUAGAAUUAGCUUUUAUUUAAAAUCUGAUUAAAUUUUGUGCCAGCAUUCGCGGUAAGACUUGGAGAUUUAGUAAAAUUUUAUUAACUUUUAGUAAGAUAUAAAUUUUAUAAUUAUUUUAUUGUUUUAAAAGGUUAAAUUAAUUUAAAAUAGAUAAAAAUUAAUAUUGUAAAUUUUUUUGAAGCUAAGAAGUCUAUAGGAUAAACUAGGAUUAGAUACCCUAUUAUAUUUAGAUUUAAAUUGUAAGUUAAUUAGUAUUAGUUAUUUUCUUGAAAUUGAGAGAAUUUGGCGGUUAUUUAGUCUUGUUAGAGGAACCUGUUUUUUAAACGAUAAACCACGAAGUAUCUUACUUAUGUUUGUAAUAGUUUGUAUACCGUCAUUAUUAGAUGAUUUUUAUAGAAAUAAUUGUUUGAAAUUAAAUUUAUUUAAUAUAUUAGAUCAAGGUGCAGCUUAUAUAUAAGUAAAAAUGGGUUACAAUAAAAUUUAUUUAUAAUGAAAUUAUUAUUGAAUAAUAAUAAGGAAGGAGGAUUUAAUUGUAAUAUGAAGUUAAUAAUUUUAUAUGAUAUUAGCUCUAAAUUAUGUACAUAUCGCCCGUCACUUUCGUUUUAAAAUGAUAUAAGUCGUAACAUAGUAGAUGUAUUGGAAAAUAUAUCUAGUUGUAAU